rnacentral:rRNA from 1 species
UACAGAGGUCUCAAGCGUUGGUCGGAUUCAUUGGGCGUAAAGGGUGCGUAGGCGGCGUGGUAAGUCGGAUGUGAAAUCUCGGAGCUUAACUCCGAAACUGCAUUCGAUACUGCCGUGCUUGAGGACUGGAGAGGAGACUGGAAUUUACGGUGUAGCGGUGAAAUGCGUAGAUAUCGUAAGGAAGACCAGUGGCGAAGGCGGCAUCCUGGACCGAGAUUGACGCUGAACAGCGAAAGCUAGGGGAGCAAACGGG